UGUGCAGCGUCCUCAGCGCCGCAGCAGUCAGCACCUGUGGGUGCUCUAGCUCUUUCCCUCGGGGUCACCGGAGGCAGAGCCUCCCCUACGCGGAGUAGAGGAGCAGCUCACAUGGCAGCCGCCACAGAGGACACCAGAUCAUGCCAACACCCCCACAACUCCUGCCCGCCUGCAGGCAGCUCUGGGCUCAGGACACCGCCUGCAAGAACCUUUAUAGCGCAGCUCUCCAAACCUUGGAGGCGAGGACAUUCUAUGUGCCCGCCCUGGAAAGGCCUGAACCUAUAACAUCUGGGCUGUGAUGGUUUCUGAGGUGGACACCAGGACCAACACUUGUCAGCAUGGCACAAUCAGGCAUUUCUCUUCUAAGUAGGAUGUGCAGCCAAAAACUCAGCUGUCUGUGAGCUGUCUUCUCCCAGGAACGAGGACAUAAGAUGUACAUCAGGUAGAUACAAGAUCCAUGCUAGCUUAAAAGCUUUAUGCCCCAAGGGCACCA
rnacentral:lncRNA from 10 species